rnacentral:rRNA from 1 species
UAGGGAAUAUUGGUCAAUGGGUGAGAGCCUGAACCAGCCAUGCCGCGUGCAGGAAGACGGCCUUCUGGGUUGUAAACUGCUUUUACUUGGGGAUAAAAACACUGUGCGCAGUGGAUUGCAGGUACCAAGGGAAUAAGCCACGGCUAACUACGUGCCAGCAGCCGCGGUAAUACGUAGGUGGCGAGCGUUGUCCGGAUUUAUUGGGUUUAAAGGGUGCGUAGGCGGCUUAUUAAGUCAGUGGUGAAAGACGGCAGCUUAACUGUCGAGGUGCCAUUGAUACUGAUGAGCUAGAGUACUGAUGAGGUAGGCGGAAUGGACGGUGUAGCGGUGAAAUGCAUAGAUAUCGUCCAGAACACCGAUAGCGAAGGCAGCUUACUAAGGAGUAACUGACGCUGAGGCA